rnacentral:rRNA from 1 species
GGUUAAGUUAGAAAGGGCGCACGGUGGAUGCCUUGGCACUAGGAGCCGAUGAAGGACGGGACGAACACCGAUAUGCUUCGGGGAGCUGUAAGCAAGCUUUGAUCCGGAGAUUUCCGAAUGGGGAAACCCACCACUCGUAAUGGAGUGGUAUCCAUAUCAGGGUUUAUUCUCCGUAACAUGGCGAUUGACGCUUGCAGACAGGCCGGCUUUGCGCCGCUUGUAUCGACGGAAGGCGAGGAUUUAGAUGCCAUUAAAGGAUUAGUCUCCGGCCCAAACCAAGAGGCUUGCCUCUUGGGGUUGUAGGACACUCUGUACGGAGUUACAAAGGAACGAGGUAGAUGAAGAGGUCUGGAAAGGCCCGCCAUAGGAGGUAACAGCCCUGUAGUCAAAACUUCGUUCUCUCCUGAGUGGAUCCUGAGUACGGCGGAACACGUGAAAUUCCGUCGGAAUCCGGGAGGACCAUCUCCCAAGGCUAAAUACUCCCUAGUGACCGAUAGUGAACCAGUACCGUGAGGGAAAGGUGAAAAGCACCCCGGAAGGGGAGUGAAAGAGAUCCUGAAACCGUGUGCCUACAAGUAGUCAGAGCCCGUUAACGGGUGAUGGCGUGCCUUUUGUAGAAUGAACCGGCGAGUUACGAUCCCGUGCAAGGUUAAGCAGAAGAUGCGGAGCCGCAGCGAAAGCGAGUCUGAAUAGGGCGAAUUGAGUACGUGGUCGUAGACCCGAAACCAGGUGAUCUACCCAUGUCCAGGGUGAAGUUCAGGUAACACUGAAUGGAGGCCCGAACCCACGCACGUUGAAAAGUGCGGGGAUGAGGUGUGGGUAGGGGUGAAAUGCCAAUCGAACCUGGAGAUAGCUGGUUCUCUCCGAAAUAGCUUUAGGGCUAGCCUCAAGGUAAGAGUCUCGGAGGUAGAGCACUGAUUGGACUAGGGGCCCCUACCGGGUUACCGAAUUCAGUCAAACUCCGAAUGCCGAUGACUUAUCCUUGGGAGUCAGACUGCGAGUGAUAAGAUCCGUAGUCGAAAGGGAAACAGCCCAGACCGCCAGCUAAGGUCCCAAAGUAUACGUUAAGUGGAAAAGGAUGUGGAGUUGCUUAGACAACCAGGAUGUUGGCUUAGAAGCAGCCACCAUUUAAAGAGUGCGUAAUAGCUCACUGGUCGAGUGACUCUGCGCCGAAAAUGUACCGGGGCUAAACGUAUCACCGAAGCUGCGGACUGUUCUUCGAACAGUGGUAGGAGAGCGUUCUAAGGGCUGUGAAGCAAGACCGGAAGGACUUGUGGAGCGCUUAGAAGUGAGAAUGCCGGUAUGAGUAGCGAAAGAGGGGUGAGAAUCCCCUCCACCGAAUGCCUAAGGUUUCCUGAGGAAGGCUCGUCCGCUCAGGGUUAGUCGGGACCUAAGCCGAGGCCGAAAGGCGUAGGCGAUGGAUAACAGGUUGAUAUUCCUGUACCACCUCCUCACCAUUUGAGCAAUGGGGGGACGCAGGAGGAUAGGGUAAGCGCGGUAUUGGAUAUCCGCGUCCAAGCAGUUAGGCUGGGAAAUAGGCAAAUCCGUUUCCCGUGAAGGCUGAGCUGUGAUGGCGAGCGAAUUAUAGUAGCGAAGUUCCUGAUUCCACACUGCCAAGAAAAGCCUCUAGCGAGGUGAGAGGUGCCCGUACCGCAAACCGACACAGGUAGGCGAGGAGAGAAUCCUAAGGUGAUCGAGAGAACUCUCGUUAAGGAACUCGGCAAAAUGACCCCGUAACUUCGGGAGAAGGGGUGCUCUGUUAGGGUGCAAGCCCGAGAGAGCCGCAGUGAAUAGGCCCAGGCGACUGUUUAGCAAAAACACAGGUCUCUGCGAAGCCGUAAGGCGAAGUAUAGGGGCUGACGCCUGCCCGGUGCUGGAAGGUUAAGAGGAGCGCUUAGCGUAAGCGAAGGUGCGAAUUGAAGCCCCAGUAAACGGCGGCCGUAACUAUAACGGUCCUAAGGUAGCGAAAUUCCUUGUCGGGUAAGUUCCGACCCGCACGAAAGGCGCAACGAUCUGGGCACUGUCUCAACGAGAGACUCGGUGAAAUUAUAGUACCUGUGAAGAUGCAGGUUACCCGCGACAGGACGGAAAGACCCCGUGGAGCUUUACUGCAGCCUGAUAUUGAAUGUUGGUACAGCUUGUACAGGAUAGGUAGGAGCCUUGGAAACCGGAGCGCCAGCUUCGGUGGAGGCAUCGGUGGGAUACUACCCUGGCUGUAUUGACCUUCUAACCCGCCGCCCUUAUCGGGCGGGGAGACAGUGUCAGGUGGGCAGUUUGACUGGGGCGGUCGCCUCCUAAAAGGUAACGGAGGCGCCCAAAGGUUCCCUCAGAAUGGUUGGAAAUCAUUCGCAGAGUGUAAAGGCACAAGGGAGCUUGACUGCGAGACCUACAAGUCGAGCAGGGACGAAAGUCGGGCUUAGUGAUCCGGUGGUUCCGCAUGGAAGGGCCAUCGCUCAACGGAUAAAAGCUACCCCGGGGAUAACAGGCUUAUCUCCCCCAAGAGUCCACAUCGACGGGGAGGUUUGGCACCUCGAUGUCGGCUCAUCGCAUCCUGGGGCUGUAGUCGGUCCCAAGGGUUGGGCUGUUCGCCCAUUAAAGCGGUACGCGAGCUGGGUUCAGAACGUCGUGAGACAGUUCGGUCCCUAUCCGUCGCGGGCGCAGGAAAUUUGAGAGGAGCUGUCCUUAGUACGAGAGGACCGGGAUGGACGCACCGCUGGUGUACCAGUUGUUCUGCCAAGGGCAUCGCUGGGUAGCUAUGUGCGGACGGGAUAAGUGCUGAAAGCAUCUAAGCAUGAAGCCCCCCUCAAGAUGAGAUUUCCCAUUCCGCAAGGAAGUAAGAUCCCUGAAAGAUGAUCAGGUUGAUAGGUCUGAGGUGGAAGUGUGGCGACACAUGGAGCUGACAGAUACUAAUCGAUCGAGGACUUAACCAA